AGAGUUUGAUCCUGGCUCAGAAUCAACGCUGGCGGCGUGCCUAACACAUGCAAGUCGAACGAGAAAGUGGAGCAAUCCAUGAGUAAAGUGGCGCACGGGUGAGUAACACGUGACUAACCUACCUUUUAGUGGGGGAUAACCUAGGGAAACCUGGGCUAAUACCGCAUAACACUUACGAGUCAAAGCAGCAAUGCGCUGAAAGAGGGGGUCGCGGCCGAUUAGCUAGUUGGCGGGGUAAUGGCCCACCAAGGCAGUGAUCGGUAUCCGGCCUGAGAGGGCGCACGGACACACUGGAACUGAAACACGGUCCAGACUCCUACGGGAGGCAGCAGUGGGGAAUUUUGCGCAAUGGGGGAAACCCUGACGCAGCAACGCCGCGUGGAGGAUGAAGUCCCUUGGGACGUAAACUCCUUUCGAUCGGGACGAUAAUGACGGUACCGGAAGAAGAAGCCCCGGCUAACUUCGUGCCAGCAGCCGCGGUAAUACGAGGGGGGCAAGCGUUGUUCGGAAUUAUUGGGCGUAAAGGGUGCGUAGGUGGUUCGGCAAGUCUUGUGUGAAAUCUUCAGGCUCAACUUGAAGUCUGCACAAGAAACUGCCGGGCUUGAGUAUGGGAGAGGUGAGUGGAAUUUCCGGUGUAGCGGUGAAAUGCGUAGAUAUCGGAAGGAACACCUGUGGCGAAAGCGGCUCACUGGACCAUUACUGACACUGAGGCACGAAAGCUAGGGGAGCAAACAGGAUUAGAUACCCUGGUAGUCC
rnacentral:rRNA from 1 species